CCUUCGAUACAUGAUGGACUAGCCGUUCGAUCUACAGAAUCAAGGAUGCGGUCCACAGGUGUGGUUCACAGGCGAGGUGGAGGUUUUGCAUGAUCAAACUACUGAAAAUCAAUUUGGACUUCGAUCCAAUAGCCAGCAUCAUUUUUGACUUUGAAUAAGAUUCCUAGGCAUGAUCCGACGGCCCAGAUUCCAUUCAUCGCGAGAUUCGACGGCUGUCAUCAUUCUCAAUUGGGUUAAGGAGUGAUUUUGCACCAUUUGAUGGCCAAAAUUCAAUCUGGAGCACAAUCAGAUGGCUGUGGUGGAAUCUAACCCUGAUAAGGAUUUAAACAUCAGAUUUUGGGU
rnacentral:lncRNA from 1 species